rnacentral:lncRNA from 1 species
UCAUCCACCUUCUAAUCCAAGUUCUCCAGUCUCUUUGUCAAAUGCCUCUUUGUUGACUGUAGGCAAAGUGAAAUGAGCACAUAAUACAUAUUAUUAAAAUGAAAGGUGGCUGUAAAAUUAUCAAAAUUUAUUUAUAAACAAAGCGUUAUAAACAUGCUCUAACUCCUUCCAACAGAUGCAAAAGCAUUUUCCAUAUUGUGCUUAUUAGCAAACCUUACAUCAGAAAAUGGUCAGCCUCGCGAGGGAGAGAGGGGAAGCAACAUAUGAGUUAUUUUUAAGAAAAAAUUGCAGGAAAAAGAUAAAGAGAAAUAAAUCAAAGACAAUGGAUUAGUAAACCCCAUUUUGACAUAAAGUGAAUUCGUAAAGAGAGAAGUCAAAACUCAAGAAUAUACAAAAGCAAAGAAUCAUGUAUAGAUAUGUGGUAUAACAACAAGCACCAGCACAUUGGUGAAUGUCAGACAGACAGCCUGAGUUGCACAAAUUACUAAAUUAGUUCAAUUAUUUUGAGGUAAGAACUUCAUAGUAAGAAAGUUCCCAUCAAAUACAACGAUUUGGAAACAUUUCUUAACGAAAAGACGGUAAAAGAAUUGAACUUUCAUAAGCAAAGAAUCAUGUGUGGAAGAACCAAAUCCACGAAAUUUCUACGAGUUAAAUUUCAUUUCCAAAAUAAAAAAUCUUGCAGAUCUGGAACCAUACGGUAAAAUCAAACCACCUACCAUUCAUAGCAAAAAUCUAUAUUUACUUACAAAAAGCCUUGUUUCAAUAAUUAUUUCCAUUGAUCCCUGAUGAAAGCUUCAAACCUCUGCAAAAAACAAAAAUAGAAGGUCAGAACUUUUAGGAUGGUCAGCACCGAAAAGUGAUGAAAUUACACAACAUAUAGACAACCGUGGUAAAAAGAAAUAGAAGAGAGAAGAAGCCGUGUAAAGUUCAAUGGAGCAAAGGACAGAGCGAGGUUAUCACAAGUUUUGUUGGUAGUCGAAGUGUAAGGGUUGGAUUUUUGAGACAUGAAAUUGAAAUUCUUAUAGCCGCAAUAUACAAACAGCUCUAAUUUUC